CCAUAGAAGUUGCAGCUCCUCAACCCAUCUUUGGUUCUUUGUUUCCUUGACUUUGAGUGAUGGUAGAGCUCAAACUUAGAUGAGGCAAAAAAAAGGCAUUUAACUGAAAAUGUCUUUGAAGAGUUUCCACUAAAGAAAAGCAUAUUGAUGGACGGCUUCAUAUGGCUUGCUGUCUUAGUCAGAAUUUUGCGAUCGAAUUACUGAUAUCUGGAUCUCGAACCAGUCACAUCCUGAUUCCUUUAAUAAAUAUCAUUAAUCACUGA